GGGGGAUAUUGCACAAUGGGGGAAACCCUGAUGCAGCGACGCCGCGUGGGCGAAGAAGUAUUUCGGUAUGUAAAGCCCUAUCAGCAGGGAAGAAGAAAUGACGGUACCUGAGUAAGAAGCACCGGCUAAAUACGUGCC
rnacentral:rRNA from 1 species